rnacentral:lncRNA from 1 species
UCUAAAAUCGAAUUCAAAUGAACUUAAAAGUGUUCACAAACGCUCGAUUUCGGGUGGUUUACUAGUGCCUCUCGUGUUCUACUUUCCCAUAACCUUAGGCAAACUCCAAAGCUCCUAACACUAGCUUUGUCUCCAAAAUGUUGAAAAGCUAUUAAGAAUUAAAUAAAUUGUAUGAAAAAAAGUUACAAAAAUCUAUUUGUUAAAAGAAUUCUGUCACUCUUAUUAAAAAUUUGAAAUACGCGGUGCAUAUAAGCAUUUUGAAGGUCCUCCACUCAACGUGAUGAUCAUUUUCCUCCUCUUAUGCGAUAGCUUCACCUGACUGUCCAAUUAGGAGGAUGUUCCCAGUCGAUUCCUAUCUCUCUGCCCUCAACCACUCAAAACAACCCUCCCACAAUUGCUGCUUUCUCUCACUCGAUCUCCCUUCUUCUUUUAUUGCGCAAUCCAGUUUUUCCUCCGCCACCCACCCUGCUCUCUGUCCUCUUUUGGCUACUGCUCUCUUUUUUUCCCCUUCCCAUUGAAUUUGUCUACUUGAAAGAAGAAGAGGGUUUUAAGGUUGGUUUUAAUACCCUAAUGUUAGCCGUCUAAUUUCUAUCCUAAAAUCUGAAUUAUUGUAUCAAUUAGGGGCAUUUUCAUCUCUUCCAGUUAGGAAAUAGUUUCUGGUCGUCUGAUGUUAUCCUCUUAAUUCAUUGUCAUUAGAUCUAGAAUUUCAUUAAGUUUAUUUUUUUUAUUUUGAGCAUUUUCAGAUCUCAGCCGUCGGAUCGAGAUUAAAAGAUUUUGGUCAUUUAUCUAAUCUUAUAACUAGACCAUUCUUUCUAUUUAGGUGGGAAGUCAAUAUGGUCGUUCAUUUGAUUUUUGGGCGGGAUCAGAUCUGAGAUAUCAAAUAACUUUCGGUUGGAAUCCAUCGUGGCCAUUCAUCAACUUUUUUGGCAGGGGACCAUCACAGUUAUUUGAUUAGCAUGCCUUUCUUGUCCGUGUGGCUGGCUAUGCACGCAGACCUACUCAUGUGUUUGCUACAAGAUAGACGAUGAUUGGAGCUGCGAACACGUCACAAGCUAACAUGUCCCAAUUUCUGAAUUUAGAGAAGGUCGCAUUUUCUGCAACUCUUUUUAGUUGAAGUCCCUAAGCUCCUUUU